AACGAACGCUGGCGGCGUGCCUAACACAUGCAAGUCGAACGGGAUUAAGGGGCUUGCUCCUUAAUCUAGUGGCGCACGGGUGAGUAACGCGUGGAUAAUCUACCCGAUGAUCUGGGAUAACAUUUCGAAAGAGGUGCUAAUACCGGAUAAGCCCACGGGGUCUUCGGACUCUGCGGGAAAAGGGGGGGACCUUCGGGCCUUCUGUCAUCGGAUGAGUCCGCGUACCAUUAGCUAGUUGGCGGUGUAAGAGACCACCAAGGCGACGAUGGUUAGCGGGUCUGGGAGGAUGAUCAGCCACACUGGAACUGAGACACGGUCCAGACUCCUACGGGAGGCAGCAGUGGGGAAUUUUGCGCAAUGGGGGAAACCCUGACGCAGCAACGCCGCGUGAGUGAUGAAGGCCUUCGGGUCGUAAAGCUCUGUCAGAGGGAAAGGAAUGUAUUGUGGCUAAUAUCCACGAUGCUUGACGGUACCCUCAAAGGAAGCACCGGCUAACUCCGUGCCAGCCGCCGCGGUAAAAC
rnacentral:rRNA from 1 species